rfam:Picea glauca, whole genome shotgun sequence.
AUCGCUCCUUUCGAUGAAUGAUAAAAUUGGAUUGAUACAGAGAAGAUUAGGAUGGCCCCUACAUGGCCCCUGCACAAGGAUGACACACACAAAUCAAGAAAUUGUCCAAGUAUAA